AAGAAUUUCUAUCGAAAAAGUUAAAAUUUAAACUGCGGCGAAAACCUGGGUAGCGAAUGGUUGACUAGCGGAUGGUGUUAUUUUGGUGGUGGUUAUGGAGUAGCCUAAGUUUUAGAGCUGCUUAAUUUAUAGGAAACACCAUUUAUUUGUCCGUUCCCUUCAUCAUUUUUUCACUCUGUUUCAUGACCUCCCUAUUGUUCUGCUACUGUCGUUCCGCUAGGUCUCAAUUUUGGGAGAUGAUCACUGAUUUUGUUUUUUGUUUGUUGUUAUUAAACUGUAUUUGUAAAACAGUUCUGGAAAUAUAAUUAAUAUAUGCGGAAAUUAUGAUAAAC
rnacentral:lncRNA from 1 species